rnacentral:rRNA from 1 species
AACGAACGCUGGCGGCAGGCCUAACACAUGCAAGUCGAGCGGACCUUUCGGGGUCAGCGGCGGACGGGUUAGUAACGCGUGGGAACGUGCCCGAAGGUACGGAAUAGUCCCGGGAAACUGGGGGUAAUACCGUAUGUGCCCUAUGGGGGAAAGAUUUAUCGCCUUCGGAUCGGCCCGCGUUGGAUUAGGUAGUUGGUGGGGUAAUGGCCUACCAAGCCGACGAUCCAUAGCUGGUUUGAGAGGAUGAUCAGCAACACUGGGACUGAGACACGGCCCAGACUCCUACGGGAGGCAGCAGUGGGGAAUCUUAGACAAUGGGGGAAACCCUGAUCUAGCCAUGCCGCGUGAGCGAUGAAGGCCUUAGGGUUGUAAAGCUCUUUCAGCUGGGAAGAUAAUGACGGUACCAGCAGAAGAAGCCCCGGCUAACUCCGUG